CCUCUGUGGGCUCAACCACAAUGGAGGGCAGACGCUCCUUCCCGUGGCCCUGGUCAGGGCUGUGCAGGGUGGCCACUGGGGGCAGGACCACCUCCACAGGGUCGGGGAAGAUCUGAAGGAAUAAAGGAGAAUUUGUGACAAACCUGUUCUGAUAUUCUGGUGACAAUAUUGAUGAUGAUGAUGAUGACCCUACCUGAAAUGGCAAUCUCUGGUCCUUCCUCUGCAUGUCUUCACAGUUUGGAUCUUGACCACUCAUGUCCUCCGUCCCUCUGAAACAAAAAACGUGAGAUAUUGGGACGAGAUGAGAAACUAAAAACAGACAAGAACAAUUUCCAGUCUCAGGAUGGAAUGGCACAUACUAACAUCUUAUAUCAUCCUCUUCCCUUUACACAUCUGAAGUCUGUCCUUAAGUCCCUUUGUGCGUCGAAACUCUAGAAAUUAAGCUUUGUUUGGUUCCUUUCGACACUAUUAUUAUUAUUAUUAUUAUACAUAACGAUAUUAUAAUAAUUAUUAGUAUUAUCAUUACUGUUAUUAAUAUGUUCUUUAAGGUUAAGUCAGUUGAGGUGAGUGUGGGGGUGUCAUCUCUAAACGCAUAGGACUAUCAUCAUUAUUAUUAAUACUAAUACUACUAAUAAUAAUAAUAAUAAUAAUAAUAAUAAUAAUGAUAAAAUACAGAUAAGAUUGUAGAUAUCUCCUCAAUAUCCCAUUAAAGUGACCCCAUUAUUAGACACCCUAGAGACCCCUGGGUAUUCAUAACCUGUAUGUAUUGGUUUUGGGUGGGUCUUCAUUUAGCAUCGUCACUCUAGGAUCAUAUGGCUCUAAACGAUCAGGCCUUUUUGCUCGUAAAAAAACUAUCAUUCACUACACUAAAUUGCAUUUGCAGUCACAUGAAUUAUGUUUUAAAACAAAUGCCAGAAAUCUCUGGGUUCUCUGUGACUCUACAUUGUAUGAAGAAGUUUCAACCUGCUGUCUGUUCUCACACAGAUUUGAGGUCAAGAGUCCCCUUCAUGCCCCCAUGUCAUAGCUGAAUUAUAGGAUCACAGCAUCCAAAGCCCUUGUCUUUUGAUUGGUCAGAUAUUUUCUGUCCUGCAUCUCAUUGGCCAAAGCUGCUGUGAUUCAAUGUGACGCUCACUCUGAAACACAUUCAUACUGCAGAUUAGAGCACUCAAAUACCAAAAUGGAUUAUGUUCUUUGAUGCACGACUGAAUAAAUGUGCUGCUUUGGAAACAGUUAGCCAGGAAGACGUUACCUUCACAAACCCAAGUCACCUGUGUUUUCUCUUAGCUCAGCCCUGAUCCUGUGACCUCAGUGACAGUGUGUAUGUUGAAAUCACAACCUGCAGUGUCCAUCAGGUGAUCCUCACUUGUUUCACAUACAUGCACAAGCCAUGUGUCAACAUCUAACUUCAGUCUGUUUAUGGUCUCCAGAAGAGCCGACGGGGGAGGAUUAAGAAGAAUUUAGGAUCUGUCCGAAUCCUCUUUUCAUCCCUCUCUCUGUGUCUCAGUGUUUUCGCUCUCUCUCCAUAUAAGUACCAAUCAUGGUUUGUUUUCACCCAGAGGCCUGCAUGUAAUGACACAAUCUGUUCAAUCUUACACACUCGUUAAUGAAAUUUCAGUUCAAAGACAGAUCUAAUCUCGUCUUCCUGUUUUUAGAUGCUGCAUAAGGCACGUUCUUUUGAAGGAGUUGUAUUUGCCAACAGUAACAUCAGUCACUUGUUUCCUUAAACUAGAUAGAUCAAACUGUUUUGAAACCCUUACAUUGUAAAGCUGCUCUCCUUUGUUUUUGUAAAUUUUUAUAUAACAUG